UACGGAGGGGGCUAGCGUUGUUCGGAAUUACUGGGCGUAAAGGGCGCGUAGGCGGCAUGGCAAGUCAGAUGUGAAAGCCCCGGGCUUAACUUGGGAAUUGCAUCUGAAACUGUUUUGCUUGAGUCCUGGAGGGGGUAGUGGAAUUCCCAGUGUAGCGGUGAAAUGCGUAGAUAUUGGGAGGAACACCGGUGGCGAAGGCGGGACUCUGGGCCGAUACUGACGCUGAGGAGCGAAAGCGUGGGGAGCAAACAGG
rnacentral:rRNA from 1 species